rnacentral:rRNA from 1 species
AUAACGCUGGCGGCAGCCUAACUUAUAACAAGUCGAACGGUAACAGGAAGCAGCUUGCUGCUUCGCUGACGAGGACGGGUGAGUAAUGUCUGGGAAACUGCCUGAUGGAGGGGGAUAACUACUGGAAACGGUAGCUAAUACCGCAUAACGUCGCAAGACCAAAGAGGAGGACCUUCGGGCCUCUUGCCAUCGGAUGUGCCCAGAUGGGAUUAGCUAGUAGGUGGGGUAACGGCUCACCUAGGCGACGAUCCCUAGCUGGUCUGAGAGGAUGACCAGCCACACUGGAACUGAGACACGGUCCAGACUCCUACGGGAGGCAGCAGUGGGGAAUAUUGCACAAUUGGGCGCAAGCCUGAUGCAGCCAUGCCGCGUGUAUGAAGAACGCUACGGGUAGAAAGUACUUUCAGCGGUGAGGACGGCACUAGGGUAAUACGCUGUACGAUGACGUAACCGAAAAGAAGCCCGGCUACUCCG